rfam:Triticum aestivum genome assembly, contig: Triticum_aestivum_CS42_TGACv1_scaffold_098772_2AL
CAAAUACUCCCUCCGUCAGGAAAUACUUGUCAUCAAAAUGGAUAAAAGGAAAUGUAUCUAGACGUAUUUUAGUUUUAGAUACAUCUCUUUUUAUCCAUUUUGAUGACAAGUAUUUUCGGACGGAGGGAGUAGAAA